UGCGUAGGUGGCAUGGUAAGUUUGAUGUGAAAUCUCCGGGCUUAACCCGGAAAUGGCAUUGAAUACUACUGUGCUGGAGGUUUGGAGGGGGGACUGGAAUUCUCGGUGUAGCAGUGAAAUGCGUAGAUAUCGAGAGGAACACCAGUGGCGAAGGCGAGUCCCUGGACAACACCUGACACUGAGGCACGAAAGCUAGGGGAGCAAACA
rnacentral:rRNA from 1 species